AUUGUCUCAAGACUAAGCCAUGCACGUCUAAGUACAAACUAAAUGAUGGUGAAACUGCAAAUGGCUCAUUACAACGGUUAUGAUGUACCCGGGAGUUCCGAUGGAUAUUUCCAGUAACACUAGAACUAAUACAUGUCCCUGCGUUUAUUAGUUUCGCACAGUCCGUCGCUGAGUCAUGGUAAACAGUUGAUCGACUCGACGUCCCGGAACAGUUUCCGCCCCAUCAGCUUCGAUGGUUGGGUAUUGGCCUACCAUUGCAACAACGGGUAACGAGGAAUUAGGGUUUGAUUUCGGAGAGGGAGCCUGAGAAACGGCUACCACAUCUACGGAUGGCAGCAGGCGCGCAAAUUACCCAAUGCAGACACUGUGAGGUAGUGACGAGAAAUAAUAAAGCGGGACUUCUGUUUCGCUAUUAUAAUGAGGAAUAACCAAAGGUCAUUCCGAUUAGCAACUGAUGGGAAAGUCUGGUGCCAGCAGCCGCGGUAAUACCAGCGUCAGUA
rnacentral:rRNA from 1 species